AUUUUUCUUACUAGAAAAAUGUUUUUUAAAAAAUUCUAUAGGAAAUGCUACAUUUGGAGAAAAAUUUUCUGAUGCGUUUCUUUGAAGGUUGAGAAUAAGACAAAGAUGAUUGAUGAACAUCAAUGUUCCUAUGCUACUCAAGAGUUCUCUCUUACUAAAUAAGGUAAAGAAAAGAAAGAGGAGGCCUAAAUGCUAAGCAGAAAGAGGAUGUAUAUACCAUUUAUGAGAUUUCUCUUUAAAUCUCCGAUUCUAAGAAAACAGAGACAAUUGAUGGCCAAGAAACUACCUGUGGAUGGAAAAUGGAGAAGGUGAAGCAAUAUUGUUCCAUUAACUCCAAGAAAGGUCAAGAGGUUGUCACCUUGGUGACCAUCCCCUAGGCAAGGUGUUGGGGUGCUAGGAAGAAGGUGGAGGCUGACCAAUUCCCUCAUCUGACAGGUUGUGUGAACAUAAGGAUUGGCUCUCAAGAUGAAGCAGCCAUUUGAAGCUUCCAAAGACCACUCGAGCAUGACCAUUCAUUAAGAAUUUCAAUUUUGACAGAAGCAGAUGUAACAGGUUUCUUUUUAUCUCUGUUGUUCAUAAAAAAAAACUGCCUAAAGAAGGGUGAAUCUUCUCUGUUAGCCCCUUAACGGGAUAAGACAUUCGAAUUAAGAAAAUGAAAUUGAAGAGGGAUGAUCUGCUUGGCAUAAGACAAGAAGGAGAGCUGAGUACUCUGAAGUGUAAUCUUGCAUGGGAUUUGAGCAGAGGCUAGUGAGAAGAAAAGCAAAAGUAAAUGGUAUUGUGAUCCCGGAAAUGUUCAAUGUAAUCUGCCAAGCUCAUACAUGCUUUAGGUGAGUGAUUUUCAGUGGUGAAAAUUCUAAAAACAAUAGUUUAUAUCAGAUAUUUUGUGAUGUGAACUGAAGCAACAUUCCAAUAAUAAGCCUAUGCCACAAUUCCUGUUCUCCACUUGGGACUGGUAGAGACUGUUAGAGGUUUAGGGGUUACCCUGGCCACAGUAUUGAGGGGUUCAAGGCAAAACCACAUGGAUAUCAAGAAGCAGAUGACUCUCCUCCUCCCUUACGCCACAUCCAAACAAGUGAAGUCUGGAUUUUAAAAAUACAUUCAUUUGUAAUAUUAUUUCUUGGAAUAAAACAACUAUUUCAUACUUGUUGAAUUAAUGACUAAAGAAAAUACAAAAAGACUUUGCACUCACAACCUGUAUUAAUUAAUUCAUCUUGA
rnacentral:lncRNA from 1 species